rnacentral:rRNA from 1 species
AGCGGCGGACGGGUGAGUAACACGUGGGUAGCCUGCCCAAGAGACUGGGAUAACACCUGGAAACAGAUGCUAAUACCGGAUAACAACACUAGACGCAUGUCUAGAGUUUGAAAGAUGGUUCUGCUAUCACUCUUGGAUGGACCUGCGGUGCAUUAGCUAGUUGGUAAGGUAACGGCUUACCAAGGCAAUGAUGCAUAGCCGAGUUGAGAGACUGAUCGGCCACAUUGGGACUGAGACACGGCCCAAACUCCUACGGGAGGCAGCAGUAGGGAAUCUUCCACAAUGGACGAAAGUCUGAUGGAGCAACGCCGCGUGAGUGAAGAAGGGUUUCGGCUCGUAAAGCUCUGUUGGUAGUGAAGAAAGAUAGAGGUAGUAACUGGCCUUUACUUGACGGUAAUUACUUAGAAAGUCACGGCUAACUACGUGCCAGCAGCCGCGGUAAUACGUAGGUGGCAAGCGUUGUCCGGAUUUAUUGGGCGUAAAGCGAGUGCAGGCGGUUCAAUAAGUCUGAUGUGAAAGCCUUCGGCUCAACCGGAGAAUUGCAUCAGAAACUGUUGAACUUGAGUGCAGAAGAGGAGAGUGGAACUCCAUGUGUAGCGGUGGAAUGCGCAGAUAUAUGGAAGAACACCAGUGGCGAAGGCGGCUCUCUGGUCUGCAACUGACGCUGAGGCUCGAAAGCAUGGAUAGCGAACAGGAUUAGAUACCCUGGUAGUCCAUGCCGUAAACGAUGAGUGCUAAGUGU